GCACAGUUGAAGAAGGUGCUGCGUGCGUGUGUUAUAAUAUAUAAUAAUUGUGCUUAAAUGUAAUAUAAAUUAUCGGAAGAAUCUAAAAUUGAAAACGAUUUCGUUCGCUUCGCAUGCAAUGCAGAAGCUCGAAAUGGAAUACAGUGCCUAGGUUAGGUCGCAUACCGUUUAAACAUCUUCAUAGUGUCCUAACACCGCUACUGAGGCAGUGCCGUCAUCACUUCCGCUCACUCAAAUCUACCUCCAAUUCUGUUGCAUGUACCACCUGUGUCUACAAUCCCGGAUGGAAUGCCUUUCAACUUGCAUUGCAGCUUCAUGUCGGUCCGUUGUUGCAACCUUUCUUUUCGAUGACGAUAAAAUAAUGCAUCGAGAUAUUUAAUGUUGCAGAAUAAGGACUUUUCUGUACAGGCUUAAUGCUUGCAGAAGAGUACGCCAUGUAACUGUCCAAAUUGACAACAAAAACGAUUUCGUUUGUUUCGCAUGUAAUGCAAAAGCUUGAAAUGGAAUACAGUACCUAUUAAGGGAAAUCUAGGUCGCAUACUGUUUAAACUUUUUAAUCGGACAGCCUUUACUGAGCAGCCAGUUUGGGCAUUACUUCCGAAUAAGUGACGAUUCUUCAGUUCUAUUCGAUUUUUCUGGAAUCUUAUCAUUUGCGGUGUUUGAACCGUUAUAACGAUCCUUCGAAAUGAUGAAUACUUAUGUCCACAAAAUUACAUAAGGUAACGGUGAUGUUAGUGAAAAUUGUUCUCCAGUGAAGAAUGCUCAGCACAUCUGUAGUGAUGUAGUAUAUACAAAAAGAGAUGUUUAAGGUAGGAUUAGUUAAGUUUAUUGUUUGUGAAAUAGGAAUGCAUUCAUCUUGGGCAACAAAUUAUGAGAAAUGCGAUGGAAUUGAAUAGCUUUAUCUGAAAAAGAAUUUUUGGACAACGAAUUGAUAUGCAUACAUUACACACAUUGAUUGAGGACAGAAAAAUUUUCAAGGCUAGAUGAGCACAAAUCUUUCUUAAAAACUGAUAACUGGAAAAUUUGUUUUGUUGGAAGAUCCGAUACAUUCCUGCGAGUCCGAUAAUAUUCAUAACCAUAAACACCUUGCUACACCUGGUCAUUGAUUUACUUACAAUUAUUGUUUCUUGUAUGUUGCAUGUCGAGAUAAGUACAUUCGAACAGCCUUGAUUGAGUUUUGUACCAUUAAAAUAACUUACGAUUGUCAUACUAAUUCUUCAACCAUAUUUAGUAUUAUGUUCGUUAUUUAAACAGCACUUAUUCACGUUCAGUAGUUAUUUAUGUUUUAAACGAACAAAACAAAAUGUUCUAAUGACAUGGACACACGAGGCAUGCCGAACUUGUCUUGAAACUAUGACUCGGUCAAAACAGGAUUUAACAUACAACUCUUAGGCAACAUUUAGUAAGAUGU